UACGUAGGUGGCAAGCGUUGUCCGGAUUUAUUGGGUUUAAAGGGUGCGUAGGCGGCUUUAUAAGUCAGUGGUGAAAGACGACAGCUCAACUGUCGAGGUGCCAUUGAUACUGUAAGGCUAGAGUACUGAUGAGGUAGGCGGAAUGGACGGUGUGUCGGUGAAAUGCUUAGAUAUCGUCCAGAACACCGAUAGCGAAGGCAGCUUACUAAAGAGUAACUGACGCUGAGGCAUGAAAGUGUGGGGAUCAAACAGG
rnacentral:rRNA from 1 species